CUCCAGUUGGAUGCAUGUCCUUCUGGGAAAGAUUCAUCGGUAUGGGAUGGGGUCGCGUCCUAUCAGCUUGAUGGCGGGGUAACGGCCCACCAUGGCUUCGACGGGUAGCCGGCCUGAGAGGGCGACCGGCCACAUUGGGACUGAGAUACGGCCCAGACUCCUACGGGAGGCAGCAGUGGGGAAUAUUGCACAAUGGGCGCAAGCCUGAUGCAGCGACGCCGCGUGCGGGAUGACGGCCUUCGGGUUGUAAACCGCUUUUGACUGGGAGCAAGCCCUUCGGGGUGAGUGUACCUUUCGAAUAAGCGCCGGCUAACUACGUGCCAGCGGCCGCGGUAAUACGUAGGGUGCAAGCGUUAUCCGGAAUUAUUGGGCGUAAAGGGCUCGUAGGCGGUUCGUCGCGUCCGGUGUGAAAGUCCAUCGCUUAACGGUGGAUCCGCGCCGGGUACGGGCGGG
rnacentral:rRNA from 1 species